GGUUGCGUCCAAGCGCGGGCUGCCGGUAGCCCGCCAAAAUACCCGUGAGGAGGAAGAGGCAAAGACCCCUCCUUCCCUGUUUAUAAACACCGCUACCUGCCCCGUGGAGACCUUAAAUAUCAUCUCCAGGAGAGGAGGUCCAACUACGUACAUCCUCACAAAAAGUUGCACCCCGGUCAGGAAAUGCCUGGAGGCAUCGCAGCGAUGGCAGUCUCCGCAGUGACUGACGUCCCGAAUUCGCCCGUGAGGAUUCACAACCAUCUUCCCAGGCAAAUGUGAAUUACAUUAUUCUUAUGGAGGUCUGAGAAGAGAGUCUGCAACUUGGGCCAGGUGCAGAGUGAGGAAUAAGUGAAGAUUCAGACUCAAGAAAGAGAAAAUCUUACUGGAGAAAACCAUGCCAAGCCUGAGAACGUUGAGUACCCGAGGCCAAGUUCAACAAGGCCAGGGAACUUUCCGGCAAGAAAUGAUCCCAUCUGUAACAAGGCCAGUCUCAUGGGUUGUAGCUCACAAUUGGCAGGAAGUUAUGGUGCCAUAACUCAUAUGGGAUAAGAUUCAUCAUUGGGCCCCUGGACUUCACACCUCGGACCCUAAGAAUGCCCCUUUGAAUGUCUUCCCUCCUGCCCAAAAGAUUGAGGAUCCAUUGGAGAGUCUGACUCUGGAACCAGUGCUUCAGACAGACAUUGUUGAAGCUGGCCAUGAUGGUCACAUAUGGUCAUUGCUGGGUCCACCCCACCCUGGGAGGUCUUUCUAAAAGCUGAAAGACAACACUCUGGCCUCAGACCAAAUGUGGAGUGGAAAUGGCCUGGCUUCUUGGCAGCUUCUCUGUCCCACUGACAGCAGCCCAGCUUGUGGAGGCAUCUGGUAUCAAGAAUAUCCGGAGCUUGGGUCCUGGGAAAAUUUUUCUCUGUGGCUUUUGUGGAAAAAAAAAAAAAAGC